AAUUCGAUUGAGUUUGAUCAUGGCUCAGAACGAACGCUGGCGGCAGGCCUAACACAUGCAAGUCGAACGCCGUAGCAAUACGGAGUGGCAGACGGGUGAGUAACGCGUGGGAACAUACCCCUCGGUUCGGAAUAACUCAGGGAAACUUGAGCUAAUACCGGAUACGUCCGAGGUUUUAAUCGACCUCGGAGAAAGAUUUAUCGCCGGAGGAUUGGCCCGCGUCUGAUUAGCUUGUUGGUGAGGUAAUGGCUCACCAAGGCGACGAUCAGUAGCUGGUCUGAGAGGAUGAUCAGCCACAUUGGGACUGAGACACGGCCCAAACUCCUACGGGAGGCAGCAGUGGGGAAUAUUGGACAAUGGGCGAAAGCCUGAUCCAGCCAUGCCGCGUGAGUGAUGAAGGCCUUAGGGUUGUAAAGCUCUUUUACCCGGGAAGAUAAUGACGGUACCGGGAGAAUAAGCCCCGGCUAACUUCGUGCCAGCAGCCGCGGUAAUACGAAGGGGGCUAGCGUUGUUCGGAAUUACUGGGCGUAAAGCGCACGUAGGCGGAUCUUUAAGUCAGGGGUGAAAUCCCGAGGCUCAACCUCGGAACUGCCUUUGAUACUGGGGAUAUAGAGUCCGGGAGAGGUGAGUGGAACUGCGAGUGUAGAGGUGAAAUUCGUAGAUAUUCGCAAGAACACCAGUGGCGAA
rnacentral:rRNA from 1 species